UUAAAGGAAUUGACGGAAGGGCACCACCAGGAGUGGAGCCUGCGGCUUAAUUUGACUCAACACGGGGAACCUCACCAGGUCCGGACAUGAUUGCGAUGGACAGAUCGAUAGCUCUUUCUAGAUCUCAUGGAUGGUGGUGCAUGGCCGUUCUUAGUUCGUGGAGCGAUUUGUCUGGUUAAUUCCGAUAACGAGCGAGACUCUACCUUACUAACUAAGACGUACGAUAUACGCGAGGUUCGUUGUUCGGCGUGUUUGCUUCACGUGUCCGUUUCGGCGGUGCGUGGGCGGCGCAUCGGCGCGAGCCAUGCUAUCGGCGCAAAUGUUUUCUUCUUAGAAGAACAAGCUAUACAUAGUAGCACGAAAGAGAGCAAUAACAGGUCUGUGAUGCCCUUAGAUGUCCUGGGCCGCACGCGUGCGACAAUGAAAGAGUCAAUAGGUGUCCUUGGCCGAAACGUCCGGGUAAUCCUAGCAAUCUCUUUCGUGUUGGGGAUUGGGGCUUGAAAGUGCUUCCCAUGAACGAGGAAUUCCCAGUAAGCGUAGUUGAUCAAUCUACGCUGAUUGAGUCCCUGCCCUUUGUACACACCGCCCGUCGCUACUACCGAUGAGCGGGCUAGCGAGAUCUUCGGACUGGCGCCUCGCAAGAGGUCGUUACCAGAAAGUCGAUCAAACUUGCCCGUUUAGAGGAAGUAAAA
rnacentral:rRNA from 1 species